CCAUUGACACACUCAGUCAACAACAACUCUCAGUCAAAAUGGAUAACGUGCCAGAAGGCUCCAGUAUUUUGGAGAAAAUAAAACGAACCAGAAUUUACAUAAUUUUAUCUUCUAUUUGGAAUUCAAUACGCGAAUGGUUCAUACGAUUAAUCAGGAGUCGGGAUCAAGCGAGCCCUGGCAAAUCCCGCCAGAAAUUCCGAGGUGGCCAAGAAAAUCAGGGCUCCCAGGAAUCUCACGGCAGCCGGGAAGGUCGGUAUGAUCAGGAACCUGCGGACGGACGGAAAAUUCAGGGCGGCAAGACGCCCGAAGCGGCCAGGAAGCCCAGGCCGUUCAGGCCAAGGAAGUCGCGUACAAACAGAAGCCUACCAGGAAGCACACGAGUGCCAGGAACUCAAGGCGUCCAGGAUACCCAGAGCGGCCAGGAAGCUCAGGGCGGGCAGGAAGCUCAGGGCGGGCAGGAAGCUCAGGGCGGGCAGGAAGCUCAGACCGACCAGGAAGCUCAGGGCGGCCAGGAAGCUCAGACCGACCAGGAAGCUCAGGGCGGCCAGGAAGCUCAGAGCGACCAGGAAGCUCAGGGCGGCCAGGAAGCUCAGAGCGACCAGGAAGCUCAGGGCGGCCAGGAAGCUCAGACCGACCAGGAAGCUCAGGGCGGCCAGGAAGCUCAGGGCGGCCAGAAAGCUCAGGGCGGCCAAGCUCAGGGCGGCCAGGAAGCUCAGACCGACCAGGAAGCUCAGGGCGGCCAGGAAGCCCAGACCGACCAGGAAGCUCAGGGCAGCCAGGGCUACGUUGAACCUUCAGGACCCCACCUUCCAAGACUGGAGGAUUUUAAGGCAGUAAAACUUCUAGGAACGGGAGAAUUUGGUAAGGUCGUCUUAGUUCGGAAGACCGGAGGUUUCGAUGACGGGACGUUAUACGCCAUGAAGUUGAUGGACAAGGAGAAGGUGCUAAAAGACGGUCCGGAGUUAGCAAUGAUGGAGCGACGUAUACAUAUCAAAUGCAAUGGCUACCCAUUUCUGGCGGGGCUGAAAUAUGCUCUUCAAUCAGUAUCGAAGCUGUACUUGGUGCUAGACUACUUCAGUGGUGGAAACUUGAUUAAUCUGCUGAGGAGGUGGGACACAUUUACAGAAUCUGAGACGAGACUGUACAUAGCUCAGAUAAUCUUGGGAGUAGAGCAACUGCAUAAGAUGAAAAUAAUCCAUCGAGACCUUAAACCAGAAAAUAUUCUGCUAGAUUCUGACGGGAAUAUUGUAAUCACAGACUUUGGUUUAAGUAAAGAGUUCCUGUUUCAUCACGAGAAAACGCGAACAAACUCAUUCACCGGAACACCCUCAUACAUGGCUCCGGAGAUAAUCGCAGAUAAAGGCCACAGCUUUGAAGUCGACUGGUGGAGUUUGGGCAUAAUGACUUAUGAACUGCUCGCUGGGUACCAGCCCUUCGUUGACGGUGCAAAAAGUAUAGAGCAACUUUAUAAGGAGUUAACUGGGAAGAUGUGGCUAGAAAAACUAUUACGAUGCCAUACCUGCCGCCUCCUUAUCAGGAUACAGACAUCGCCCCUGUUCAAGGUCAUCUGAACUUGGAACUUCAAGAUCAGUUACCUGUCGGAGCGUUGAAGAAAUAUCAUAAAAUCUUAAAGGACUAUUCAUUCGUGUCUCCAGCACUUACUUCUGACAGACGUUUUGAAGGCGAAACCCCAGGAGUGCCCCAACGCAAUAAGUUAUAAUAUUUUAGCUGAUUAAUUUCUCAUUAGUUACCUUUUUUUUUGAUUACAUGUAUCGAAAAUUAUAAAACUAAGGGUUAAUGGUUUUCAUUCUUAUCUCACACAUAAAAUUACAUUUUAUUAUUCAGACACGAAACUAACUAUUUAAAUAGUUAGUUUCGUGUCUGAAUAAUAAAUAAACGGGUACAUGCUUUAGCCUUUUUUGUCAUUCUGUACCAAAAAAAAUGUUAGUAUGAAACUUUGCAUGUGUGUUAUCACUUGAAUGUCAAAAUAACGAGAAUACAGCAAUAAAGAUAUUUAUGUCACUGGA